rnacentral:rRNA from 1 species
UCAAGCAAUAAGGGCACAGGGCGGAUGCCUUGGCACUAAGAGCCGAUGAAAGACGUGAUAAGCUGCGAUAAGCUUCGGGGAGGAGCAAAUAUCCAUUGAUCCGGAGAUGUCUGAAUGGGGAAACCCACAUGAGCAAACCUCAUGUAUCCAUACGCCAAUCCAUAACGUAUGGAAGGGAACCCGGGGAACUGAAACAUCUAAGUACCCGGAGGAAAAGAAAGAAAACUCGAUUCCGUAAGUAGCGGCGAGCGAACGCGGAGGAGCCUAAACCGGAAUGCGUGCAUUCCGGGGUUACGGACUGCAUUUAAGAUUCUCUGAAGCUAACAGAACGGUUUUGGGAAAGCCGGCCGGAGAGGGUGAAAGCCCCGUACGUGAAAGCUGAUGAGACUGAGCAGGAUCCAGAGUACCACGAGACACGUGGAACCUUGUGGGAAAUCAGGGGGACCACCCCCUAAGGCUAAAUACUACUUAGUGACCGAUAGCGCAUAGUACUGUGAAGGAAAGGUGAAAAGGACCCCGGGAGGGGAGUGAAAGAGAACCUGAAACCCUGUGUCUACAAGCUGUGGGAGCACUUUAUAUGUGCGACCGCGUACUUUUUGUAGAACGGUCCGGCGAGUUACGCUUACUGGCAAGGUUAAGCACUUCAGGUGCGGAGCCGUAGGGAAACCAAGUCUUAAGAGGGCCAGAGUCAGUAGGAGUAGACCCGAAACCGGGUGAUCUAUCCAUGUCCAGGUUGAAGCUGCCGUAAGAGGUAGUGGAGGACCGAACCCACAUCCGUUGAAAAGGGUGGGGAUGAGGUGUGGAUAGGGGAGAAAUUCCAAUCGAACCCGGAGAUAGCUGGUUCUCCUCGAAAUAGCUUUAGGGCUAGCCUCGAUACAGAUUUGCGGAGGUAGAGCACUGAAUUUCCUAGGGGGCGUCAAAGCCUACCGAAGAAUAUCAAACUCCGAAUGCCGCGUAAUCGAUUAUCGGGAGUCAGACUGCACGAGAUAAGUUGGGCGGUCAAAAGGGAAAGAGCCCAGACCUUCAGUUAAGGUCCCCAAGUGCGCGUUAAGUGGAAAAGGAUGUGGGAUUUCGAAGACAACCAGGAUGUUGGCUCAGAAGCAGCCAUCCAUUCAAAGAGUGCGUAAUAGCUCACUGGUCGAGAGGUCCUGCGCCGAAAAUGUCCGGGGCUGAAACGCGCCACCGAAACUAAGGAACCGAAAGGUUGGUAGAGGAGCAUUGCAUGCGGGAAGAAGCAGUACCGUAAGGAGCUGUGGACUGCAUGGAAGAGAGAAUGCCGGAAUGAGUAGCGAGAAUAAGGUGGGAAUCCUUAUGGCCGAAUAUCCAAGGUUUCCAGAGUAAAGCUGAUCUGCUCUGGGUAAGUCGGGGCCUAAGGCGAGGACGAGAGUCGUAGCCGAUGGACAACAGGUGGAGAUUCCUGUACUGCGGUAUGACAGAACUGUGGGGACACGUAAGGAAAGCGGAAGCCGGGAAUGGAAAGCCCGGUGCAAGCGGGGUACCAGUCACUUUGGCAAAUCCGGGUGGCAAUGGGAAGCCGUGAUGCGGAGCGAAAUAAAGUAGCGAAGUCCGUGAGCCAUGCGUCAAGAAAAGCCGCUAUCGUUCAUACCGUACCCGUACCGUAAACCGACACAGGUGGAUGAGGAGAGAAUCCUAAGGCCGGCGGAAGAAGCAUUGUCAAGGAACUCGGCAAAAUGGCCCCGUAACUUAGGGAUAAGGGGUGCCUGGGAAACCAGGCCGCAGAGAAUAGGCUCAAGCAACUGUUUAGCAAAAACACAGGUCUAUGCGAAACCGAAAGGUGAGGUAUAUGGGCUGACGCCUGCCCGGUGCUGGAAGGUUAAGAGGAGAGGUUAGCGGUAACGCGAAGCUUUGAAUUUAAGCCCCAGUAAACGGCGGCCGUAACUAUAACGGUCCUAAGGUAGCGAAAUUCCUUGUCGGGUAAGUUCCGACCCGCACGAAAGGCGUAAUGAUUUGAGCGCUGUCUCGACAAUGCAUCCGGUGAAAUUGAAGUACCAGUGAAGAUGCUGGUUACCUGCGCCAGGACGGAAAGACCCCAUGGAGCUUUACUCCAGUCUGGUACUGGGACUCGGUAUUGCAUGUACAGGAUAGGUGGGAGGCUAGGAGAUGGUAACGCCAGUUGCCAUGGAGCCGCUGUUGGGAUACCACCCUUGCAGUAUUGGGUUUCUAACCAGCCGCCGUGACCCGGCGGUGGGACAAUGCCAGACGGGGAGUUUGACUGGGGCGGUCGCCUCCGAAAGGGUAUCGGAGGCGCCCAAAGGUUCCCUCAGAAUGGACGGAAACCAUUCGAAGAGUGCAAAGGCAGAAGGGAGCUUGACUGCGACACCGACGGGUGGAGCAGGUACGAAAGUAGGGCUUAGUGAUCCGGUGGUAUUAAGUGGGAAUGCCAUCGCUCAACGGAUAAAAGCUACCCUGGGGAUAACAGGCUUAUCACUCCCAAGAGUUCACAUCGACGGAGUGGUUUGGCACCUCGAUGUCGGCUCAUCGCAUCCUGGGGCUGUAGUA